rnacentral:rRNA from 1 species
UUGUCUUUUAAUUGAAGGCUAGUAUGAAUGGUUGGACGAAAAAUAUACUUUCUUUAUUUUAUAUAAAUNAAUUAAUUUUUUAGUUAAAAAGCUAAGAUUUUUUUAUAGGACGAGAAGACCCUAUAGAACUUUAUUUUCUANAUAUAUAUAUUUUAUAGAUUUUUAAAAUAUUAUAUAUUAAUAGUUAAUUUAAUUGGGGUGAUUGAAAAAAUUAUAUAACUUUUUCUAUUUNUAUCAUUUAUUUAUGAUGUUUUU